rnacentral:rRNA from 1 species
GACGAACGCUGGCGGCGUGCCUAAUACAUGCAAGUAGAACGCACAGUUUAUACCGUAGCUUGCUACACCAUAGACUGAGAGUUGCGAACGGGUGAGUAACGCGUAGGUAACCUGCGUGGUAGCGGGGGAUAACUAUUGGAAAUGAUAGCUAAUACCGCAUAAUAUUAAUUAUUGCAUGAUAAUUAAUUGAAAGGUGCAAUUGCACCACUACCAGAUGGACCUGCGUUGUAUUAGCUAGUAGGUGAGGUAACGGCGCUCCUAGGCGACGAUACAUAGCCGACCGGCGAGGGUGGUCGGCCGCACUGGGACUGAGACACGGCCCAUACUCCUACGGGAGGCAGCAGUAGGGCAUCGUCGGGCAUGGGCGGAAGACUGUCCGAGCAACGCCGCGGGAGUGAAGAAGGUUUUCGGGUCGGAGAGCUCGGUUGUAGGGGAAGAACGGGUGUGAGAGUGGAAAGUUCACACUGUGACGGUAACUGACCAGAAAGGGACGGCUAACUACGUG